UUUUUUUUUUAAGUCGGGAACAGCUGAUUUUCACCUGCAAAGAGAUACAUUUUCAUUGACAAAUCAUUCACUGUGUGGUAGCUAAGUGUCGUUGAGAAAAUCUCGGGAAACUUUUGCAUUCUGGGCAGUUGUUUUCCUGGUGCUCCUCCUGUGGUGUUAAGGAUGACAAGGAAUUGAAAGGUGUUGAAAAAAUUGGCAGAUUGUGCAAAUUAUUCGGAUAUUUUUGUAUCUGCAAAAUGGGGAGUGAGCAGGAAGAGUCAACAUCUUCGUAUUGGCAUCUCAUCGACGAGCCCAUUCUCCUCAAGAUCUUCCUUUUGCUGAAGCCACGGGAGAUCCUCAAUGCUGGUGAAACAUGCCGUCGAUGGUGCGACAUCUCCAGGGAUGACUAUCUCUGGCAUAAAAUCUUCAUAAGGGAUUUCAAAGUCGACAAAAAUAUUGGCCUGAAGCCAGGAGCCGAAUCAUGGAGUACGGAAUUCAGACGUCUCACCAACAAUAUCCCCAUGGUGCUUACGGAUGUCCUUACGGAGCACGCCCAUCAGGUGCUUCAUGUGAGCUUUUCGCACAAUGGCAAAUAUUUUGCCACUUGCUCCAAAGAUGGUUUUGUCAUGGUGUGGACAUCAUCUUACCCCUCGAAGACACUUUUUUCACACAAUAUGAAACAUUUUAGCUGGAAAUACACGCAAUACUCGCAAUUUAACCAAAGUGACACACUCCUGCUGGUCUCAGGUGUUCACUUUGGUUCCCCACAGACGUCUUCCGGUGAAAUAGCUGUGUUCAGCGUACAAGCUGAUUCGCAGCUACGUUGCCGAAUUCUCAAUCGUCCAUAUGAUAUCUUCGGUACAUGGUUUAGUGAUCAAUUUCUCAUUUCCGGUGACAUUCACUGGCUUGCCCAUCUUGUCAGUACUUCCAUUCUCUGGCUCAAUAAAGCUAAUCAGGAAACUGCCUCGGAACAUGUGCCAAUAAUGAAUCAACUCUACAAGUUUUACAAUCGCAAUGGUAGCUCCAUUAGAGCCGUUAUGAUAGCCAAUUGUCCCUGGUUGGACGAUGAGGAGACUGAAGAAAAGGGUGCAGGUACAUCAGAAGUCUUCCUUGAACCCUCAACAUCAGUGGAUGAGGAUAAAUGUGCAGGAAAUCCCUUGUCACACACCAAAAUGGGUGCUUUAUGCCCAAAUAGUAGCUCUCACAUGGAUAGCGUGGAAAUCCCCUAUCAUCCCCUAGCUAAUCUCGAUUAUGCCAGCCCUAUACACUACAGUGAUGAAUUUCGUCGUGAAUACGAAGAUAGUCACUGUGAAUCUCUCUCAGAUGAUUGCCUAGAUGAGGAGGAGGAUGACAUGUUUGAGGAUGAAGAUGAGGAUCUUGAGAAUCUCUGCCCAAAGUAUCUAAUCUUUUCCCUAGGAUCAAAAACCUAUACACCCCAUCAGAUAGGAUUUAAACGCAUCAAAAAUGUCAAUUUCCCCAAGAAACUGGACUUGGGGCCCUCACUGAAGGAACGACUAGCCCAGAGGAUUAGAGAUAGACAAGAGUAUGAAGCGAGAGUAGCACAUGAUUGGCAGAAUUAUGAAGCUGUUGCAGAUCGUUUCGAUAAAGUGGACAACCUAAUUGACCUACAUGGGCAUAUCAUCGGAAUGGGUCUCAGUCCUGAUCACAGAUAUCUCUACGUGAAUAGUCGCCCCUGGCCAAAGGACUACGUCAUUACGAACCCCAUGGAACCACCCCCUAUUGCCCAGGAGAUUGAUAUUCACGUGAUAGAUUUGGUUACUCUCAAGAGAGUAGGAACAAUGCUGAGAGCACACAAAGCAUACACACCAAAUACUGACUGCUUCUUCAUCUUCCUGGAUGUCUGUGAAAACUAUGUAGCUAGUGGUGCUGAGGAUAUGCAUGCUUACCUCUGGGACAGAUAUUAUGGGGUUUGCCUGGCCAAAUAUCAACAUACAGAAGUUGUGAAUAGUGUCGCUUUCAAUCCCCGUGAUAAUGAAAUGUUGGUCACAACAAGUGACGACUAUAAAAUUAAGGUGUGGCGGUCUGUUGAAAAAGCCAAAUUUCUCAAUCUGGACACUGAGCGACGUGCUGUAGAGUUCCGGAAACUCAUAAAAUGAGUGCAGUAGAUAUUUAUGGACACAUUUUCCCACUGUUUUUGCUCCCUGUACAUUACUAAUCGAUUAAUCCUUCCGAUUGCGUCAGCCAAGGGACGGUAGAUCAACCCAAACGCAUCCUUUCAAUUUUAGGGGCCAGAGCUUUCGACGCUACUGUGCGUCUUCCUCAGUGGUCAAUUGUAGUAUAAACUACAAUAUUUAGUAUAAACUCCCAAAAUUCCAUAUAAAAA